rnacentral:rRNA from 1 species
AGAGUUUGAUCCUGGCUCAGGAUGAACGCUGGCGGCGUGCCUAAUACAUGCAAGUCGAACGGUAUAGCAAUAUACAGUGGCGACCGGGUGAGUAACACGUAGCAGACCUGCCUUCUCGCGGGGGAUAACAGUCCGAAAGGAUUGCUAAUACCGCAUAUUUUCGAGGGAACUAGAUACUCUCGAAGAAACCUCCGGGGCGA